UGGCCAUGAGAAAAUGUUGUCAUAAUAUUAAAUAGAAUUGAAAAAAAGUUGCAAAAAUAAAACAAAAGGAUUCUGAUUCAUUGAGUUUGAAUAAUUCUUAAUCCGGGAAUUUAUGAAAUUUGGAAAGUGCUUAAAAAUCAUUUCAACCCUUGCAUAGAUCUGUAACCACCCCUUAAAAAGACUAAGGAAAAGCAAAAGCACUACACCGCACAACAACCAGUUUUGUGUGGUCUCGGUUGGCGCCAUAAACUAGCCUUGAACUAGACCAAGACCGAGACUCGACUCGACUCGAGAAUCGAUAAAUAUUUACUUACCGUUUACGUAAAUUGUCCAUGAACUUCUCCAUGUUGACCUGGUCCAAAAGGACAAAGUCCUGCACGCCUGCCUCACGUUGCAUUGCCAUUUUUGUAGCUGCUUCUUUUUUUCUUCCUUUUUUGUUUUGCUCACGUGUGGAAAAGAGGGUGAGCACAGAGAGAGCGACAGAGAGACCAGAGAGCUAAUUGCCGGCUGCUGCCUCAGGUAACACAAGAAGUCGUCGUUCCGAAAGAUCUGAAUACGAUCAAAGCAAACCCAAUUUGAUGAUGACGAAGAGGAGGAGGAGGAGGAAUUCGCCUUGGUUUUCUGUGUUUUGUUUUGUUUGUCUGCCUCUCUUCUUGGUCUUCUUCUUCGUUCUUGUUGUUGUUGCUGCUUUUUCGCGUCUCGUUUCCAAUUUUAAAUUUUAUGAAAUUUUUGCUGUAUAUUUUAUAUGUGGUGAUCAGUUUCUGCUGAUUCGAGGGAAUUCUCUAUAUAUUUUUACUCUCACACAACACACGCACGAUUGGAACAUUAACAAGAAUGAAUUAAAAUUUCGCUUUUAUCAAUUUUUUCCAAAUUGCUCAUAAAUUACAACUCGACAAAAUACCUCAAGUUGCCUGGCAUAUAAAUAUUAAUUAUUGCUUUUCUUUUUUCCUAUAUUCUUUCUUUUCGUAUUUCUUCUUGCUUUAAGAUCGCCAAGAGAACUUGUUCAAAACUGCCAGCUGGUUUUUGGCUUAUUGUCAGCCGCCGACAACAAAUAUAACACACGACAAUACGGACGGAGCGAAACCAACCACUCGAUUCAAUGCUCGAAGAGAAACUGAAUCCACAUCAACUGAGUGUAUUUCAACUGGUGGAGAAGUGGAAAUUGCUGGCGGCUUUGCUACAGGCAAGGGACUGGUGAAUCAACUGAGUGUAUCCAACUCUGAGAAAGAUACGUCAACAUUUGAAAGUAAUGUCGACUAGAGUAUACCUAGCAAAAAGUGGCGAAUUAAUUUAUUCUCCACUUAUUUGAGAACUAGAAUAUACAGAUAUAAUCCAAACUAAUUGGCCGCAAAGAUUUGCAGGUAUAUUUUUUAGAUUCACACAUUGAAUACUUCCCGAAAACCUUGGGGACUACAGUGAAGAAUAAGGUGAAAGGUAUUAUUAAGCAAUUAAAGUUGUGGAACAGCUAUAUCAACGAAGAUGGGGAGAUAUAUUGUUACAAAAAAGUUCUUAAGUGAUUUUUUGACUCGCUAUCCUCUUUCUCCAAAACUGGAGGCGGCGGCGGUAGUUCCGGCUCCUCCUCAUGCCAUUCCAUCGUCGUCGUCGGUUCCUCUCGAGGUUUCUUCCCCGAUGUGCUGGGGCUUGCCUCAAAAAGGCAUUUUCGUGGCGUUGCGCCAUCGCCGUGAUGCUUUUUUUCAAUGUGGCGCUUUAUAUCAGAGAGUCUCGUGGACUCUUAAUCACAAAAUUGGCACGCAGGCAUUUUGGUUUGCUUUUCCUGUUGUUGUUGCCUCUGU